GACGAACGCUGGCGGCGUGCUUAACACAUGCAAGUCGAACGGAAAGGCCUGCCACUGUGGUGGUGGGUACUCGAGUGGCGAACGGGUGAGUAACACGUGGGUGAUCUGCCCCGCACUGUGGGAUAAGCCUGGGAAACUGGGUCUAAUACCACAUACGACCACACUGUAGACAGUGUGGUGGAAAGCUUUUGCGGUGUGGGAUGAGCCCGCGGCCUAUCAGCUUGUUGGUGGGGUAAUGGCCUACCAAGGCGGCGACGGGUAGCCGGCCUGAGAGGGUGGACGGCCACAUUGGGACUGAGACACGGCCCAGACUCCUACGGGAGGCAGCAGUGGGGAAUAUUGCACAAUGGGCGCAAGCCUGAUGCAGCGACGUCGCGUGGGGGAUGACGGCCUUCGGGUUGUAAACUCCUUUCGCCCGGGACGAAGCCCACCUUGGUGGGUGACGGUACCGUGGAGAAGAAGCACCGGCUAACUACGUGCCAGCCGCCGCCGUAAAAC
rnacentral:rRNA from 1 species